AAAUGUGAGGGCAACCUGGCUGUGACAUCUGAUUGCCAGGGUUGAUUCGGCUGAUCUGGCUGGCGAGGCGGGUGUCCCCUUCCUCCCUCGCCGCUCCAUUGCGUCCCUCCCGAAGCUGCGCGCUCGGUCGAAGAGGCCGACCUUCCCCGAGUAGAGGAGGAGCGGUCUUCGGUCAAGGGUACAGAGUAGCUGCGCUCCCCUGUAGACCCUCCAAACAAGCUCUCAAUAAUGCGUGAUUAACUAACGCCGUUCUCUCUCCCCUAGGAUUGUAGAAAUCUACAGUAGAAGACUACAAGGUAAACACUUACAAUCUUUAGUUAUAAAAAAACUAUAUGUAUCUAGUUAA
rnacentral:snRNA from 1 species